UGUUUCCUGAAGUGUUCGCCUAUGGGUUAUGUCCCUGAGCCGAUAAUUUUAUUUUAGGAUGAUACCGCCUCGGCUAUUGAGCAGGCUCGGCAUGUACCGAGAAGCCUACGGCCGAGUGGUAUUUUCCGCCUUGAACCUUACGGUUCAAGGGCUAUACCCUAAUCGACACUUCGGGAAGCAC
rnacentral:other from 1 species